AACAAAGCAGCCUGCACCAUUUCCUGCAGGAGAGUUCUGGAGGGAGGUGGGAGAGAGGAAGGAGCCUGGAAUCAGAUCAUCUUGCUUCGCCCCUUUGACGGAGGAAGUCGAAGAGAAGUGACCUCUCACCCUGCAGUAGAUCGUUUGCCAAGUUGCUCAUAAUAGUCCCUUCCUGUUGGACAUGACUUGGCUGCUCCCUGCAGCACGAAGUGGACUGGAUUUCGCCCGCUCUUCUGUCUGGGCCGGCCUGACUUGCUCUGACCAACCCAGGGCGGCCGGCGCGCGUUGUAUGCGCUCUGGAGCUGAGGCGGUAGGAGGCUUUGUAGUUUCUUCCGCUCCCUUGGAGCCCUGAGAUGGUCGUGUGAAGAAGUCAGGCCAGCCUCCUUGUGGAUGAUAGGACACGCCGAGGAGAGAGAAGCCAAGCUUGCAAACAACAGGAGCCGCCAGACAGCUUGAACUUUAUGUGUCCACAAGAUAUUUUAAAAAGUGAAAAUAAGGAGGUCACAAUACCAACGCAGCUUUUACCCCGUAUCUCCAGCCAGAUGCACAGCCAUUAGGUGGUUAGAGACUGGAUCCUUCGGUCACUACUUGGAAGAGAACCUCCUGGCCAGGACACUGCAUGAGAGAGCAAUAAACAUUGACUGGCACCACUCCCCUCGGGGGCGAGGCUGCCAGUGGAGGAAGGAAAAGCACACGCUUAAAGGGAGCUGAGCCAGCUUGGACCUGAACCUCAGGACUUCUGUUCCAGCAACUUGGGACCUGACCUAGCUCCUGACAGGGCAGUGACAGCCACCGAGCAGACGGAAAGCCCAGCUUCACACCUAGCUCCGGAACUGGCCCCUCAUCUCCUGCUUCACCUCCCGCCAAGGUGACAGCUGCCAGCACACCCUGAGGGAAUAUGGGACUUGUGUUCAUUUCAAUUAUAGCUCUCCCAAAACCAACCCUAAAAUGUUACAAUGUCUUCUCUAAGAGGAAAAGAAAAAGCUGUAACAAGAAGUAGGUAUCACUAGGAAAGGAAAAAUCCCACUAGUAAAGGCAAAUAUAAAGGCAGAGGAUCCACCACUUAAGUAAGCUAACAAAAAGAUUAAAAUAAAAAAAUUGUAAUAUCAAGUACAACUGCAAUAAUCAGUAAAGAGAUGAACAUGAAGAUGUAAAAUAUGACAUCAAAAGCACAACAUGUGGGGGAGGGGAGUUAAAACAGAUCCUUUAGAAUGUAUUUGACCCUAAAAGAAUACCUGUUUAAAACAGAUCUACUUCAUAGGCCAACAUAUAUGAAUCCCAUGGUAACCAGAAAUCAAAAAGCUACCAUAGAUACACAAAGACAAUAGAGAAAGGAACACAAAGAUACCACUAAAAAAAUCAUUAAACCACUAGGGAAGAAAGUAAAAGAAGAAAAUAACAAGGGACAACUACAGAAACAACCAGAAAACAGCAGGAAGUACAUACCUAUCAAUAAUUACGUUAAAUGUCACUGAACUAAAUGCUUCGAUCAAAAGACAUAGAGUUUUUCAUUGGAUUUUAAAAAAAAAAAACAACCCACCUAGAUGCUGGUUACAAGAGACUCACCUUCAGCGCUAAAGACACACAGAAUGAAAGGGUGGAAAAACAUAUUUCAUGUAUAUGGAAACAAUAAUAAAGCUGAGGUAGGAAUAUUCAUAUGACAAAAGAGACUUUAAAAAUAUGACAAAAUAGACUUUAAAACAAACUCUGCAACAAAAGACAGAGAAGGGCAUUAUGUAAUGAUAAAGGAAUCAAUACAAGAAGAGGACAUUACACUUAUUAACAUAUAUGCACCUAAUACAGGAGCACCUAAAUACAUAAAGUAAAUAUUAACAGACAAAGUAAGUACUUGACAGCAAUCCAGUAACAGUAGGGGACUUUAACACCCCGCUUACCUCAAUGGACACAUCAUCCAGACAGAAAAUCAAUAAGGAAACGGUAGUCAUAAGUGACACAACAGACCAACUGGCCAUAAUAGAUAGCUAUGGGGCAUUCCGUCCCACAGCAGCAGAAUACACAUUCUUUUAAAGUGCACAUGGAACAUUCUCCAGGAUAGAUGACAGGCUAGGCCACAAAUCAAGUCUCAGCAAAUUUAAGAGCAUAGAAAUUAUAUGAAGCAUUUUUUUUCUGCCCACAAUGGUAUGAAUUAGAAAUAAGUUACAGGGGAAAAAAUAAGAAAAGCACAAACACGUGGAGACUAAUCAACAUGCUACUAAAAAAAAUCAACGAGUCAAUGAAGAAAUCAAAGAGGAAAUCAGAAAAUACCUUGAGACAAAUUCAAAUGGAAACAAAACUUUCCAAACUCUAUGGGGGGGGGGGCAACAAAAGCAGUUUUAAGAAGAAAGUUUAUAGCGACACAGGCCUACCUCAAGAGACAACAAAAAUCUGAAAUAAAUAACUUAAUCUACCACCUAAAAGAAAAAGAACAAAGCCAGCAGAAGGGAGGCAAUAAUAAAGAUCAGAGAGGAAAUAAAACAGAGAUCAAAAAAGUAAAAGAAAAAAGAUCAAUACAACCAGGAGCUGGUUCUUUGAGAAGAUAAACAAAAUGGAUAAACCUUUAGCCAGGCUCAUCAGGAAGAAAAAAGAGAAGACUCAAAGUAAGAAAUGAAAGAGGAGAAAUAACAACCAAUGCUACAGAGAUACAAAAAAAUCGUAAGACAAUACUAUGAACAGUUAUAUGCCAACUUCCUAGAAGAAAUGGACAAAUUUCUAGAAACAUACAACUUGCCAGGACUGAAACAGGAAAAAUAGACAAUCUGAAUAGUAAAACUGAAUUUGUAUUUUAGAAACUGCCAGCAAACAGAAGUUCAUAAUCAGACGGCUUCACAGGGGAAUUCUACCAAACAUAUAAAGAACCGAUACCUAUCCUUAUCAAACUAUUCUAAAAAAUUGAAAAGGAUGGAACACUCCCAAAUUCAUUCUGUGAAGUCACCAUUACCCUGAUAGCCACACCAAAGAUACUACAAAAAAAAUGAAACUUGUAGGCCAAUAUCUCUGAUGAAUACAGGUGUAAAAAUCCUCGACAAAAUAUUAAACUGAAAUCAGUAAUAUAUAAAAAGCAUCACACACCAUGAUCAAGUGGGAUUUAUUCCAGAGACGCAAGGAUCAUUUAAUGUUGCAAAUCAGUCAAUGUGAAACAUUAGGUUAAUAAAAGGAAGUAUAAAAUCACAUGAUCAUCUUGAUACAUGCUGAAAAAGCAUUUGACAAAAUUCAGCAUCCAUUCAUGAUAACUCAUCAAAGUUGGCACAGACGGAACAUAUCUGAACAUAAUAAAAGCCAUUUAUGACAAACCCACAGCUAACAUUGUAUUCAACAGUGAAAAAGCUGAUGAUAGCUUUUCUUCUAAAAUCAGGAAUAAUACAAAGCUGCCCACUCACACCACUUCUAUUUAGCAUAGUGGUGGAAAACGCAGCCACAGCAGUCAGAUAAGAAAAAGAAAUAAAAGGCAUCCAAAAUGGAAGGAAAGAAGUAAAAAACUGUCACUAUUUUCACAUGACAUGAUACUAUAUAUAGAAAACCCAAAAGUCUCCACUAAAAAUAUUAGAACUAAUAAAUGAAUUCAGUUAAAUUACAGGAUAUAAAAUUUAUACAGAAACCUGUUGCUUUUCCUCUACACCCCCAAAAUGAAUUACCAGAAAGAGAAAGCAGAGAACAAUCUCAUACAAAAUUACAUCAAAAAGAAUAAAAUACCUACAAAUAAACUUAAGAAGGUGAAAGACCUAAACUCUGAGAGCUAUAAAACACUGAUGAAGGAAUUUGAAAAUGAUACAAAUGGAAAGCUAUCUCAUGCUAUUGGAUUGGAAGAAUUAAUAUUAAGAAUUAAUACAAUGAUCAUACUAGCCAAAGCAUUCUACACUGUUAAUGCAAUCCCUAUCAAAAUACCCAUGGCAUUUUUCACAGUUAUAGAAGAAAUAAUCCUAACAUUUAUAUGAAACCACAAAAGACCCCAAAUUGCCAAAGCAAUGCUGAGAAAAAAAGAACAAUGCUGGAGGAAUCAGGCUCCCUAACUUCACACUAUACUACAAAGCCAUAGUAAUCAUAACAGCAUGGUACUGGCACAAAAAGAGACAUAUCAAUCAAUGGAACAGAAUAGAGAGCUGAGAAAUAAAUCCAUACACUUAUGGUCAUUUCAUCUACAAGAAAGGGGAUAAGAAUAUACAAUGGAGAAAAGACAGUCUUUAAUAAGUAGUGCAGGGAAAACUAGACAGCUACAUGUAAAAGAAUCAGAACAUUUCCUCACACCAUAUACAAAAAUAAAUUCAAAAUGGAUUAAAGACCUUAAUUUAAGACCUGAAACUAUAAAACUCCUAGAAGGGAACACAGGCAGAAUGCUCUUUGAGAUAAAUCAUAGAAAUAUUUUUUUGGAUCUGUCUCCUAAGGCAAAAGAAAUAAAAGUAAAUAUAAGCAAGUGGGACCUACUUAAACUUAAAAAGCUUUUGCAUAGAAAAGGAAACCAUCAAUAAAACAAAAAGACAACCUACUGAAUGGGAGAAAAUAUUUGCAAAUGGUAUGACCAAUAAGGGGUUAAUAUCCAAAAUAUAUUAACAGCUCAUACAACUCAAUAUCAAGAAAUCAAACAACCCAAUUAAAAAAUGGGCAGAAGACCUAAAUAGACAUUUUUCCAAAGAAGAUAAACAGAUGGCCAACAGGCACAUAAAAAAAUGUUCAAUAUUGCCAAUCAUCAGAGAAAUGCAAAUCAAAACCACAGUGAGAUACCAUCUCACACCUGUCAAAAUGGCUAUCAUCAAACAGUUGGCAAAUCACAAAUGCUGAGGAGGAUGUGGAGAAAAGGGAAUCCUACCACGCUGUUGGUGGGAUUGUAAAUUGGUACAUCCACUAUGGAAAACAGUAUGGAGUAUCCUCAGAAAACUAAAAAUAGAAUCACCAUAUGAUUUAACAAUCUCACUGCUGAGUAUAUAUCUGAAGAAAAGAAAAAUAUUAAUUUGAAAAGAUACAUGUACCCCAAUGUUCACAGCAAAUUAUUUACAAUAGCCAAAUUAUGCAAGCAACCUAAGUCCCCAUCAACAGAUGAAUGGAUGAAGAUGGUGUGGUAUGUGUAUGUAUGUAUACAUAAACACACACACACACACACGAAUAUUACUCAGGCAUAAAAAAGGAAUGAAAUUCUGCCAUUUGCAACAACAAGAGGGACCUAGAGAGUAUUAUGCUUAGUGAAAUAAGUCAUAAAGAGAAAAACAAAUACUAUAUGCUAUUACUAAUAUGUGAAAUCUAAAAAGUAAAACAAAUGAGGUAUAUAACAAAAUGGAAACUGAUGGAGAACAAACUAGUGGUUAACACUGGGGUGAGGGAAGGGGGAGGGGUGAAAUAGGGAUAUGGGAUUAAGAGACAAACUACUAUGUAUAAAAUAAAUAAGCAAUAAGGGAUAUGUUGUAAAGCACAGUGAAAUAUAGCUACUAUUUUGUCACAAGUUUAAAUACAGUAUAAUCUAUAAUAUUGAAUCACUAUGUUGUACACCUAAAAACUAAUAUUAUUAAUCAACUAUACUUCAAUAAAAAAUAAAAAUAAAAAAUAUA